GUUCUUGCUUUGACAGCACAUAUACCAAAAUUGAAAUGAUACAGAGAAAAUAAGCAUGGCCCAAUGCAAGGCUGAGAAGCAAAUUCGUGUUGUUCCAUAUUAAG